CCUACGGGAGGCAGCAGUGGGGAAUAUUGGACAAUGGGCGAAAGCCUGAUCCAGCCAUGCCGCGUGUGUGAAGAAGGUCUUCGGAUUGUAAAGCACUUUAAGUUGGGAGGAAGGGCAGUAAGUUAAUACCUUGCUGUUUUGACGUUACCGACAGAAUAAGCACCGGCUAACUCCGUGCCAGCAGCCGCGGUAAU
rnacentral:rRNA from 1 species